rnacentral:rRNA from 1 species
GACGAACGCUGGCGGCGUGCUUAACACAUGCAAGUCGAACGGAAAGGCCCUGCUUUUGUGGGGUGCUCGAGUGGCGAACGGGUGAGUAACACGUGAGUAACCUGCCCUUGACUUUGGGAUAACUUCAGGAAACUGGGGCUAAUACCGGAUAGGAGCUCCUGCUGCAUGGUGGGGGUUGGAAAGUUUCGGCGGUUGGGGAUGGACUCGCGGCUUAUCAGCUUGUUGGUGGGGUAGUGGCUGACCAAGGCUUUGACGGGUAGCCGGCCGGAGAGGGGGACCGGCAGCAUUGGGGCUGAGGUGCGGCCCAGACUCCUACGGGAGGCAGCAGUGGGGAAGAUUGCACAAUAGGCGGAAGCCUGAUGCAGCAGCGCCGCGUGCGGGAUGACGGCCUUCGGGUUGUAAGCCGCUUUCGCCUGUGACGAAGCGUGAGUGACGGUAAUGGGUAAAGAAGCACCGGCUAACUACGUG